rnacentral:rRNA from 1 species
GACAGAGGAGGCAAGCGUUAUCCGGAAUUAUUGGGCGUAAAGCGUCCGUAGGUGGUUUGACAAGUCUGGGGUUAAAGCCCGGAGCCCAACUCCGGAUCGGACCUGGAUACUGUCAGACUUGAGUAAGGUAGGGGUUGCGGGAAUUCCCGGUGUAGCGGUGAUAUGAGUAGAUAUCGGGAAGAACACCAGCGGCGAAAGCGCGCAACUGGGCCAUUACUGACACUGAGGGACGAAAGCUAGGGGAGCGAAUGGG